CCGGUACGAUGAUGACAACAUAGUUCAGCAGACUGUCACUGAUGAGCAGUAUGUCUUUCGCUCCUAUCUGAUGUAUCCG